CAAUUUAAAGGAAUGUAUAUAAAAUAGACAAACAUAAUUAUACCGGUAACUGGCAUGGCGACUAAAAGUAUUGUCCUUUCAUAAACAGUAGCAGGGGACUGACAAUUUUAGUGACAUGACAUCAACAGGACAUUCAAGUAAAAGCUCAACAAUACCAGGUGGAGGAGGAGUGGACUGGACAGGGACUCUUGCUGCUGAAGUGAGAUAUGAGAUAAUUAAUCAGGGGACAGGGUUUACGUGUUAAGAUGCUCACCUGGGAUGGGUGCGCCCUGCAGCGGAACAGGCAGCUGUUCUACAAGCUGCG